rnacentral:rRNA from 1 species
GGGCCCGCACAAGCGGUGGAGUAUGUGGUUUAAUUCGAUGCAACGCGAAAAACCUUACCUACUCUUGACAUACUUGGAAGCUCUUGUAAUGAGAGUGUGCCUUUUGGAACCAAGAUACAGGUGCUGCAUGGCUGUCGUCAGCUCGUGUCGUGAGAUGUUCCGUUAAGUCGGAUAACGAGCGCAACCCUUACCCUUAUUUGCCAGCGAUUCGGUCGGAACUAUAAGGGGACUGCCGGUGAUAAACCGGAGGAAGGUGAGGACGACGUCAAGUCAUCAUGGCCUUACGAGUAGGGCUACACACGUGCUACAAUGGGGAAUACAGACGGACGCUAAGCCGCGAGUG